rnacentral:rRNA from 1 species
AGAGUUUGAUCAUGGCUCAGGAUGAACGCUAGCUACAGGCUUAACACAUGCAAGUCGAGGGGCAGCAGGAUCUAGCAAUAGAUUGCUGGCGACCGGCGCACGGGUGAGUAACACGUAUCCAACCUGCCGAUAACUCGGGGAUAGCCUUUCGAAAGAAAGAUUAAUACCCGAUGGCAUAAUUAGACCGCAUGGUCUUAUUAUUAAAGAAUUUCGGUUAUCGAUGGGGAUGCGUUCCAUUAGGCAGUUGUGAGGUAACGGCUCACCAAACCUUCGAUGGAUAGGGGUUCUGAGAGGAAGGUCCCCCACAUUGGAACUGAGACACGGUCCAAACUCCUACGGGAGCA